rnacentral:rRNA from 1 species
GAUGAACGCUGGCGGCGUGCCUAAUACAUGCAAGUCGAGCGAACGGACGAGAAGCUUGCUUCUCUGAUGUUAGCGGCGGACGGGUGAGUAACACGUGGAUAACCUACCUAUAAGACUGGGAUAACUUCGGGAAACCGGAGCUAAUACCGGAUGAUAUUUUGAACCGCAUGGUUCAAAAGUGAAAGACGGUCUUGCUGUCACUUAUAGAUGGAUCCGCGCUGCAUUAGCUAGUUGGUAAGGUAACGGCUUACCAAGGCAACGAUGCAUAGCCGACCUGAGAGGGUGAUCGGCCACCCUGGAACUGGGACACGGUCCAGACUCCUACGGGAGGCAGCAGUAGGGAAUCUUCCGCAAUGGGCGAAAGCCUGGCGGAGCAGCGCCGCGUGAGUGAUGAAGGUCUUCGGAUCGUAAAACUCUGUUAUUAGGGAAGAACAUAUGUGUAAGUAACUGUGCACAUCUUGACGGUACCUAAUCAGAAAGCCACGGCUAACUACGUG